CCUACGGGAGGCAGCAGUGGGGAAUCUUGCGCAAUGGGCGAAAGCCUGACGCAGCCACGCCGCGUGCGGGAUGAAGGCCCUAGGGUUGUAAACCGCUUUUAACAGGAACGAAAAUGACGGUACCUGUAGAAUAAGGUGCGGCCAACUACGUGCCAGCAGCCGCGGUGACACGUAGGCACCAAGCGUUGUCCGGAUUUAUUGGGCGUAAAGAGCUCGUAGGCGGUUCAGUAAGUCGGGUGUGAAAACUCUGGGCUUAACCCAGAGACGCCACUCGAUACUAUUGUGACUAGAGUUCGGUAGGGGAGCGGGGAAUUCCUAGUGUAGCGGUGAAAUGCGCAGAUAUUAGGAGGAACACCGGUGGCGAAGGCGCCGCUCUGGGCCGAUACUGACGCUGAGGAGCGAAAGCGUGGGUAGCAAACAGGAUUAGAUACCCUGGUAGUCCACGCCGUAAACGGUGGGCACUAGGUGUGGGUUCCAACCAACGGAAUCCGCGCCGUCGCUAACGCAUUAAGUGCCCCGCCUGGGGAGUACGGCCGCAGGUUAAAACUUAAAUGAAUUGACGG
rnacentral:rRNA from 1 species